AUACUUACCUGGACGGGGUCUAUGCCUGAUCAAUAAGGGUCAUGGCCUAAGUUUAGUGGCUUUCAUUGCACUUAGGAAGAGCGCUUGCUUACCAUCUCCUCAAGUACGAGAGUGGACGUCAUAAUUUAUGGCCGUGCGGACCCUA
rnacentral:snRNA from 2 species